UGAAUCGUCUACACUUAAUUGGACAAAUUCUAUGAGAAUAGAUAUUUGUUAAUUUAAGAAA
rnacentral:sRNA from 1 species